AAAAGGAUUCCCUGCCAUGAUCCAAUCCUGUAAGGAAAGGGACAGCUAUAAUAAAGCCAUUUCACUGUCCCCUGAACCACAGUGAGGCCCCAUUCUCGUGCCUCAUGCUGGAUACAUCUAUGCAGUGUCACAAAAGGAAGGGGGAAUGAAUGACAUCCUCGAAGAGCAACUCCUCACUCCUGGUCCAUCUUCUCAUUGAAUUCAGGUUUCACGUGACACUGCCUGGUGUGCAGUUGAUCUCCCAGAUCCCAGCAACAAAGCCACUCUUUGGUUUCUGUCACUGUGUCAUGGAGUCAGGAGGCGGGAGGUGCCCUGAUAUGACUUCUGAGCAAGCACACACACGGAGCGCCUGCGUCAUCCCAUCCUCCUCCCUGCGUUUGCAAACAAACUCCUUUAAUCAUCUCUCCCAGAAGCUCUUUAUGAAUCAACAACAAACUCAUCGCCUCGUGGUCUGGCAGCCGCUGUCCUCUGUGGAAGUGUAGACGGACACGUGCCUCCUUUUCCAGCCCUCUGGCCUUCCCCCGUCAAUUCCUUCAGAACUCCUUCGCAGGGUUCCUGACCUUGGUCCUCGGUCCUCUUGGAGCCAAGGGGACCACGAGAAGUGAGACCAUGGACAGAAGCGCCAUUGUUCAUUCCAGCUGCUUCUGUCCGAGGCUCAUGCCCCUCACCCUGCAACAUCCCGCCCAUGUUUUUGAGGCCUAAAUUCUGAUUCCCCUCUCUUCCUUCAUAGGCCUCGGGCCUCUUCUGGAGAUGACCUUGGAAGCUGGCUUCUCUUUCCUCGAAGCAUUAACCCUAGGCUCUGGCGAGCUCUCCCCUCCACCACAGUCUUCCUGCUCCCUGUCGCUCCUUCUUUCCAUCUCUCAGGACGCCUCUUUUGCCCUGGAGUUAGUUCAUCACGGAUCUCCCAGGCUCUGGUUAUCUCUCCUGAUCUUUGGUCACUGAAAAAAUUUGCCCAGGCCAAACCGCACUUUGAGGCCACUUCCAGCCACUGUCACCUAGCUGUCUGAAGCCACACCCUAACAAAUUCAAGCUGACUCUUUUCCUUCCUUCGAUGGCUUGAAAUCCACCUUCCUGUCACUUGACUGUUUCCAGUUUUUAACUUCUCACUCUGUCACCUCUCCCAAGGUCCCCGUCACGUCCACUCUGUCAACCGAUGCCCUUUUGGUUGGUGAGAAUCCAACAGGGCCAAUCAGUGACCUAGAUGGCUUCCCCCACCCCACGGAAGAUUACAUCUUCAGAUGGGAAAGUCACGAAAUCGUCAAGCACUCUGCUUUUAAUUCAAAGAGACUUUCAGCAAGUAUCUGGGCAGCCCAAGUCCCUGUCAUUGCAGCUAUUUUUUUUUUUUCUUGCUGGGAUGGUCUUUGAUCAGCCCCCGAAAUGCAUUUUCCAUUUGCUGCAUCGCAUUUGCUCGAUGGCCCUUUAGUUUACAGCAUGCAGAUUUUACAAAUGCAUUAAGGUCACCCCUCUGCAAAAACCUGGACAGAUCCAGGUCAGGGCUGCACCAGCCGCUGUGCAGAAGUAAAAUGAAACCGAGUAAUUGAGCUUGAAAUACACAGGGAAUUGAAGUCAAGCAGGAAUUUGUCUCCAUUUUCUUCUCUGUUUUCUCCAUGGGCUCUGCCUAUUGUGAGUUCGCUUUGCUGCCAAAGGAGAUGGUUCCAAAGCUUAUCCAGUUUAAUCAUCUGUAAAAUGGGAAUGGGACUAUCUGCCUACCUACUCAUAGGAAUAUUCUCUUGCUCAAAUGAGAGUCAGAAAGCUUUGGAAGAGAACUGAAAAGGGCUCAAUAAAUGUGAUGAAUUUUGUAGCAUCCUUUCCCCAAGUGCAAGAAUUGACUUAACCCUCUCCAUGGUCAGAGAAUUCACCCCAGGAAAACCUAAUGCCUUGUGCAGCAAAGAAGGCCAAGGAAAGUCCAAACAUCAUUAAGCCCCAUUGAAGGUCUCACGCAUUGUUUUCUAUUUCCAAAAAUGAAGCACUCAAGGCAAUAUAAGAAAUAGACAACUGUUUUACAUGUUUUGAUUUAUAUUUGCUGAAUGCUAAAUAAUUAAUAUGCAUUCACCUUUGAUGCUAAAAUGACUCUGGAGAUGAUAAUAGGGUAACACUUACCAGACAUUAUCUGCCGGGUCCUGAGCUAAGAUCAUUGCAAAUAUAUCUCACUUAAUGCACUCAGCCUCCCAGUGAGCUUGUUGGCCGUUAUAACCUUCCUUCACUGACAAAUGAAACCAGGCUGAGUUGAAGGAAAUUGAGGAAACCUCACAGCUGAUAAAGGCGGAGCUAGAAAUGCAUUCGGAGGAAUGGAAGGAAGAGACGUGGGCUGCUUCUGGGAAAAGGAGAGAUGCUUCAAGACCCCCUGUGUUCCAGUUGCUGUCUCCCCACAAGCUCAUCUUUAUUUUAACUUUCAAAAUGCAAACCUGUUCUUGUGAGCAGAGAACACGGAACGACUCCCAACCCACUUUGAAGGGCAAAAUUGCAAAAAGUUGCCAGGCCCUUCCCCAAUUUCCUUGUCCAAGACAAGCAGCAGCUGGGGUUUAUCUACCCUAAGUCAGGUUUCAGGAGCUGCAGGUGAGGGAAAUCUCAGGGUGCAACAGUUUACGAGUUCAGAGUUGAGAAAUGUCAUUUUUAAAAACGCAUGUUCUGCUGCUAAUAACAGCUUGAAAGCAACCAGUAAAGCGUUCAUGAAAACAAACAAAAAAUAAAAAUGAAAACAAGAAAACAAUUCAUUUGCUGCCUUUGCCUUCUAACCUUAUCAGUAAAAUUCUUUCACUAUUUAAUUUUCGCUAAAUCAGCUCAUUUUUAAUUAAAUGCCCAUUUGAGCCCUUCCUGAACAAUAUCUAUAAAAAUAGAUUCAAUAUGCUAGCUUUGUCUGAUACGCAUACUUAAAACGAAUAUGUAGCUAUUAAAAUUUAAUUUUUU
ensembl:lincRNA